rnacentral:rRNA from 1 species
AAGACCUUGCGCUUUUGGAGCGGCCGAUGUCUGAUUAGCUAGUUGGUGGGGUAAUGGCCUACCAAAGCUUCGAUCAGUAACUGGUCUGAGAGGACGACCAGCCACACUGGGACUGAGACACGGCCCAGACUCCUACGGGAGGCAGCAGUGGGGAAUUUUGGACAAUGGGCGCAAGCCUGAUCCAGCCAUGCCGCGUGAGUGAAGAAGGCCUUCGGGUUGUAAAGCUCUUUCAGCCGGGAAGAAAAGGCUACGACGAAUAAUCGUAGCUCAUGACGGUACCGGAAGAAGAAGCACCGGCUAACUACGUGCCAGCAGCCGCGGUAAUACGUAGGGUGCGAGCGUUAAUCGGAAUUACUGGGCGUAAAGGGUGCGCAGGCGGUUUUGUAAGUCAGAUGUGAAAUCCCCGGGCUUAACCUGGGAACU